UACGUAGGGCGCAAGCGUUGUCCGGAAUUAUUGGGCGUAAAGAGCUCGUAGGCGGCUUGUCACGUCGGAUGUGAAAGCCCCGGGGCUUAACCCCGGGUCUGCAUUCGAUACGGGCUAGCUAGAGUGUGGUAGGGGAGAUCGGAAUUCCUGGUGUAGCGGUGAAAUGCGCAGAUAUCAGGAGGAACACCGGUGGCGAAGGCGGAUCUCUGGGCCAUUACUGACGCUGAGGAGCGAAAGCGUGGGGAGCGAACAGG
rnacentral:rRNA from 1 species